AAAUUCUGCCUAAAAACUCUGCCAAAAAUUGGGGGUGGUGAAAGUUAUUUUAUCCCUGGUACCCCUUUCAAGAAAAUAAACCUUCCAUCCUCGCAAUUCUUCUUCCUCCUUCGUGAUCCAUGUCGAGACCCUUUUUUUCUUUCUUCCUUCCUCAAAGAACAUAUCAUCGUCUGCUGCUUUCCAACUUCUGAGUGUGCGAGGCGGAGAUAGAUCUAUUCUAGAAUGGAGGUGGCCAUGGAUUUGAUGUGGAGGAUCUCACCAAAGGAGAGCGAGACUACUCUCUCCUCCUUGAUGUCCCUGAUCCCUCACCAUUCCACCGACCUUCUCUUGCAAGUCGACCUUCCUCUCCAGGUCCUCGCCUCUCGUUCGUUUCUCUUUUGUUUCUUAUCUUCCAUGUGGUUUCUAAUUUGCCUCUUGAAGUCCCUAAUCCCUCACCAUUUUGCUUUUGAUAUUUGGGAAAUUCCCCUUUUUAUAAGAGGGAGAGGUAGCUCUUUCUACCUCUUGUUUCUUUCUCCCAUUUUUUUGUCUACGUAGUUCGUGUUUCGGUUUGUUUGUCUUUUCUGGUUCUUAUUGAGAUAAAUCUGUGUCUAAUGUCAUAUAAAUGCCUCGAUUUAGUAAAUCUAGUCUCCUUUUCGUAUUAACUCUUGAUUUUUUUGGAAGAAACUCUUGUUUGACCUUUUUUUUUUUUUUUGGCAUUUUCAAUUCUGUCUUCGAUAUCUCUUAUUACAAUGUCUGCAAAGUUAAACUUUUCUUCCAUAUUUACUGUAACUGAGAGAAAAUUGUGAUUUCUUGUGGGUACAAACUAAUUGCCAAAUUCCAACAGUUUCAACUUAAUCUGAAACAACCAUCUGCCAAAUUCCAUCCAUUUUUAAUUUGCUAAAUGAUAAUAUGUUAUGGCCGCUUAAUGCAAAUAUCUGUGUUAGAUUUGUACCAAAAGGAUUCUAAAGUUCUUGUUUUUCUUUCUAAUGUAAUUUUUUAAAGUGUGUAUGAAAAAUGUCUUGAUGAAAGAGUUUAUUUUGUGUGAAUACAACAGAGAUGCAGAUUCAUAUAGGUAAACUUUAUCUAUUUGAGUCUCAAUAUAUUUUAGGAUUAUGCCAUUGUAAUUAUAUAUUCGUACAGGUAAACUUUAUCUAUUUGAGUCAAAAAGUAGCGGACGAUGAUAUGGUACACAUCCUUUGCAUGCUUUUUUAUCAUGAUUUACUAUCAUUAAUAAUGAUUUAGCUGUAAAUAUUACGUUCUUUAUAUUUUGUGUUUAAUGAUGCAUAAAGUUCCAUGUAGCCAAUUCUAAAUAGUUGAAUGGUCAUGGUUUCUACUUUUUUAUAUAUUUUUUUUGAAAGAAGAAGCCUGUUUCUUACCUUGAUGAAUCAAGUAACAGAUAUGCAUUUUUUUUUUAACACAAUACUUACCUUAAAGGUGUUGCCAUAGUGAUCAAGGUUUGACUAAGUUAAUGUGUCAUAAUGAUCAAAGAAAUCUAUUACUAAAAAUUUUCUAAAGUAUCUGCUUACUGCCUCCCUCAUUUACUAUUGAAAAAAAUUGAGCCUUCCAUGGAGCUAGCUAGUCAUUACCUCUAUGAAUAUGGUGAAUCCAUUAGAUUUUGUUGCUAUUAUUGUUUGCAAUUGAGAUGUGCUAUUAUUUUGGUACUACAUAGCUUUGAUAAUAUUUUUUGAUGAUGUUUCUUACAUCUCUCAUUUUGUGGAAGUAUAUUGUCAAGGAUCACUCUUUAAUUCUGGUUAGUCUUAUCAUUAUUGUUAAUCUAUGUAGUUUCUGUAAUAUGAUGCUCAACCUUUAUUUAUACUAAAGAGAAUUUUCUGUCAUCUAGCAGCUGUAAUACUAUGUAAUCUUACAUGGCUACUACUAUGAGUUAAACUUGAUAGCAAUAUUAACUUUAUAUAGCUCAUUUUAUCUUUUAUUUUUUUUCUUAAGCUCUUCAUUGGUUUGGAUGAAUGCUUUGGUUUAUGCAAUGUGCUUUGCUGAUGCUACAAGUUAUCUUACUAGGUUGAAUGUCUUGGCAACAUCUUUUUUUGCAAAUUGUGAAUGGAUGAAUUAUCUAAACUAAUAUGACUUGAUUUUACUCAAUUCAUCAGAGUUAUCACUAGCAUAUGCAAAACUAAUACAGUAUUUGAGUGUAUUUAAAGGAUAUACUGGUAAUUAUCUACUCACCCUAAAUUUCAUGUGAUUGUAUUCUCCAGUCUUUCUUAUUCACUUGACUGAGAUGUUUGAAGCGAAAUAAUUUUCUUUCUUCCUAUUAUGUGACAAUAUUUUCUUUCUUCCUCAUAUCCAUUAAUUUUUGUCUUAUGAAACAUGUUAUCAGUUCCUCUCAUUUCCGUUCAGAGGAAUUUAAUGCACUGAAGCUUGCAGAAAAGAAUUUUUUUUUUUUAUCAAAUCAACACAUCUAGCUUCUUAAGCUAUAGCUUCUUCAUGAGUAAGCUUUACACAGGUAUGUUGUUGAAUUUUUCUUCAUUGCCUCUAGUUGACUAGUUGGAAGAUCAUCUAUUGUAAGGUUCUAGGUAUUUUAUUCUGGAUGGACCUGAUCCAGGGGAAAUUUGAAGGUUGCUCAACAAAUUUGUGUUAAGUUUGGAGUUCUUGCUUCAUCUAUUUCUGGAGUGGAUAUGGACCUUAAGACAGAGGCUGGUCUUCAAAAUGCAUGAACUUUACUUGCAGCAAAUUAGUUUAGCCAAGUAUCUCAUCGUCACUAUUUUUACUUUUACUGAUAUUUGUAUGGUUUCUUGGUUGGGGAUUGAGGCAAGAGUCAAAUAUGGAUUUAUUUUGAUUGAUGCUUUCUGAUUUACUAGCAUGUCAUACUGAAGUACAAGCUCAUAUUCACAUAGGAAAAUGUGUUAAUCAAUUGAUAUUUAGUUUAAUCCAAUUUAAUAGGCUUAUAGGUUGGUAGAUCAUGAACACAAAUAGUGCCAUCAUUAUUUCUUAUUAAUAAUUUGCUUAAUCCCAUUUGAUAGUUAUGCUUGAAUUGCUGGAAUGAAUAAAUCUGCCAUGUAUAUACAUCUAAUAAGUACUAAUUAGGCAACUACAAUUACAAGCAAUCUGUUCUCCCAUGCUAUAUGUUUAACAUGCAGAUUGAGAAUGCCAUUGUUCUUCUUUUUCUUGCUGAAAUUCAUAAGGUAAAAAAACACAUGACCUACUGAUUUCUUUUUGAAUUCCCCCAUAGUGAACCUAUCUUCUACCCUUUUGAUUUUGUUAGAAAGCUGGUGGCACUGUCUUUGGGCUGUCUUAUACAUUAGCAAUUUUAUCAUUCUACAAAAUAUUUAAUUUAGAUUUGCAACCUUUUUCAAUCUCAGCUGAAGAGUUUUUCUCCCAGUGGAAAUCAUUAUCAUGACCACCUAUGAAGCUUCAAGAAGUGGUGAGUAUCCGGAUGAACCUAUAUUUCUUUUUGCCAUUUUUUCUAUAAGUUUGUCUGGAAAAACAUAACUAAGGGUCAAGUUUACUUUAAUGACUCGUUCAAAACUAUUCUCUUUUGCUUGUUUGGUCUUUUACCGCUGACAUAGUGCAUGAAUGUAAUUUAUUUUUGAGGCAAUGCUUAAAGAUAAUUAAAUGUGUAUCAGCAGAUUCUAAGAAGAUGAAAGUUAGUAGCUCCUAAAUUCUAAAACAUUGCUCCCAAGAGUUAAUUGCUUGUGUUACGGGUUUUUAAAUAAUACAGUGAGAUCUAUAUGAAAAGUUUUUAACUUUUUUUAUAUAUUUAUAAUUCAUAGGAUAAUAUAUUUAGUGUAUUAGUGUAUGAUAGAUAGAAAACUCAUGGUUGCAUAUAAUAAAUAUUAUGAUUAGUUAUUGCUUUUUAAGUUCCUUAAGUUACAGCAUGGUCGAAACAAAGAAGGGUCUCGACAAGGAGGAAGAUCAUUUCCAGGCUGCUGUUUAUGGUGUUGGUGUUUGUGCUGAAUUUGGUAGUUAUUUGUUUCGUCCUUUGGUGUUGGUGUUUCUCUUGAAGUACUCAUUGUAUGUUUUAUUGUUGUUAUCCUUCAUUGAGUGUUUAUAGACAACAUUGCCUUUUAUAAUUUUUUUUUCAUUAAAUUUGUCUCUCUUAUCUUUUCAAUGGAUGAUGAAGCUAGAGUUACGGAGUUUAAUCUCAAAUUCAUGUGGAGAAGCCCCAAUGAGACUAAGGAACAUUUUAAAUGAUUACAUGUUGGCACUUGGGCAGAGCUUGGACGGUCAAGUAAUAUGUGUAAAUGUUGUAGAGGAGAGGCCACGAUGUGCUUUUUGAUAUCGAAAAAUUGAAAUAUUAUUUGUCAGAAGGAUUUUGGUGACAAAAUAUCGUUGUAUGAAUUUAUUUUUGAUGAUUGUUUACUUUACAGUAAUGUACUCUUUGUAUAUGUGGUAAAGAGUUAAUAUGAUUUGCUAUAAGUUUGUAUA